CAAUCGAAAUUAAUUUGAUUAAAUAAUUUUAUUAAAAAAUAAAUCGACUUACAUUUGUUUGUCCUCAGGUUGAAAAGCUUCGAUUUCUUCAUCGGAUGUAAAUAUAAUUUCAGACAUUGUGAAUAUAUUUUAUGAAUAUCGCAACUUUUGUAAUAAUUUAAUUUUUGUAUAAGUAAUAAUGUUGUACUGAAUUAAUUUUAUAAACUAAUUUUUUAUAAAUAAUAAAAAUGCAACUGUUUCGACGCCAAGAUCAACAAAGAAGACCAAAAUGCACAAGUGCAAAAAAAAAACGACAGUUGCGUGCCCACAAUUACUCAACAAGUAGAGCCAACGUUUUCCUGAGUUAAUAAAUGGCGACGUCACUUAUAAAUCAGUCUCAAAGAGAAUGCAAACGUGGCAAAACUCAAUAAAACCACCAAAUGCUAAUUUAUAUUACGAGAUACAAACAUUAACCCGGCGUCGUGAGUGGGCUGGAUUAUUAAAUUAUACUGGUGGUACAAUAUUAAUGGCAUCAAUUACUUCAUCUGACCGUAGAAGAGCUUAAUUUUUGGUGAACCGGGUAUUGUGGCUUCAUUACCAGAUAAUGCUCAGUAUGCUUCAUAUGUUAAUUCAUAUUCUUUUAUUGUACCCACCUUUGAUGAUACAAAAGCUGUUUUAAUAUUUUUAUUAAAAUAUUCCGGACGAUUGAUGCCAUUUGCAUAUGUCUCCACAAACGAAACUGCUGUUGAUUUAUAUAACGAAAUGAUAGAAUACAUCUUGGAAGAUUUUUCAUAUAGUCAAAGUAAUCUAACAGAAAUAAUUACAAGUUAUGAUCAUAAUCUUCGUUUUGGAAUUUUUCACAUUGUCCAGGAACCCCUACUGAGACUCAUAUGCCCUCAAUAUCAUUAGUUUUAUUAAAACGGGCAUUUGCAGGAGUUGAUGUAACUGCACUUUCCAAUUUUUUCCAGUUUGUUAAUGCAAACUGAGUAAUAUUAUUUAAACUUAUUAGCUAUUUCUCUGUCUCCACUAGACCAAGUAGAUAAAGCUUUUCAAUCACUUGAAGAAUCUUCAAAUGAUCAGUACAGAGUUACAUUCGGAUAUAUAUUUAACUGGUACAGAAACGAUAUUAUUAAGAAAACACCUUCACAUGCAUUUUCAUGCUCUCGUGAUGAUGAACUACUAAACAAUGUACUAUUAGUUAAACCACGUAAAAUUUCACAUAAAUUUGUUGGAGUUAAUAGCAAAUAACUCACUCGUCAAACUGCUCAUUGGAAAUUAUAUUGGAAGUUUAAUUUUUUUUUUUAAUAUGAAGUUUGAUGAAAUUAUAAUGAAAUUAAACUUAUUUUCUAAUUGAAUAAAUAUUUUCCAUUUCAGCUGAUUUGUUAGAUACAACAGCAUAAUCUCGCAAAGAUUUAGAUACAAAUUCAAGUAAUAAUGUCUAAAAUAUAAAAAACAUCACAGUGUCACCAAAAUGAACAAUGGUUCAAAUUGGUAGUAUGAGACGAUUAUGAGCAGGCUUAAAUUCAUCCACCACUCACAUAUAGAUGUAUAAACACACAUGCGUAUUAGCGGCUGUGUAUUCCAUAUGGUUUGGCGAGUAUUUGAUUUUUUAGAAUUGUUUUUAUACUUUUAUUCUUUUGAAAGUUGAAAACUCAAGAUAUUUUUAUAACCCAGAAUAGUUUUUUACAUAUUGAGAAAGAACCAACAAAAGUAGUGAAAUAACAUCAAAACAAAAGUUCUUAAUUUAUAUAGGGGAAAGCGGGGCACAAUGGAACACUUAAGGGAAAAAUAUGAAAUUAUUUAUGGCAACAGUAUUUUUUCACAUAUUUCGCUCUGUAAUUAAUUAAAAGAUUUAAAAAAUUUUUGGAAAAUUAAAAAAAAAA
rnacentral:lncRNA from 1 species